CCUACGGGAGGCUGCAGUGGGGAAUAUUGCACAAUGGGCGCAAGCCUGAUGCAGCCAUGCCGCGUGUGUGAAGAAGGCCUUCGAGUUGUAAAGCACUUUCAGCGGGGAGGAAGGCGGUGAGGUUAAUAACCUCAUCGAUUGACGUUACCCGCAGAAGAAGCACCGGCUAACUCCGUGCCAGCAGCCGCGGUAAUACGGAGGGUGCAAGCGUUAAUCGGAAUUACUGGGCGUAAAGCGCACGCAGGCGGUCUGUCAGGUCGGAUGUGAAAUCCCCGGGCUCAACCUGGGAACUGCAUUCGAAACUGGCAGGCUAGAGUCUUGUAGAGGGGGGUAGAAUUCCAGGUGUAGCGGUGAAAUGCGUAGAGAUCUGGAGGAAUACCGGUGGCGAAGGCGGCCCCCUGGACAAAGACUGACGCUCAGGUGCGAAAGCGUGGGGAGCAAACAGGAUUAGAUACCCGGGUAGUC
rnacentral:rRNA from 1 species